UGGUCGAUGACAAUAGAAAUA
ensembl:piRNA 21ur-624 ncRNA